GAAAUGCGAUAAGUAAUGUGAAUUGCAGAAUUCAGUGAAUCAUCGAAUCUUUGAACGCACCUUGCGCUCCUUGGUAUUCCUUGGAGCAUGCCUGUUUGAGUAUCAUGAAAUCUUCAAAGUAAAUCUUUUGUUAACUCAAUUGGUUUCUACUUUGGUAUUGGAGGUCUUUGCAGCUUCACACCUGCUCCUCUUUGUUCAUUAGCUGGAUCUCAGUGUUAUGCUUGGUUCCACUCGGCGUGAUAAGUUAUCUAUCGCUGAGGACACUGUAAAAGGUGGCCAAGGUAAAUGCAGAUGAACCGCUUCUAAUAGUCCAUUGACUUGGGCAAUACUUUUAUGAUCUGAUCUCAAAUCAGGUAGGACUACCCGCUUAACUUAAGC
rnacentral:misc_RNA from 1 species